UACGGGGGGAGCAAGCGUUGUUCGGAUUUACUGGGCGUAAAGGGCGCGUAGGCGGCCAGCACAAGUCAGUUGUGAAAUCUCCGAGCUUAACUCGGAAAGGUCAACUGAUACUGUGCGGCUAGAGUGCGGAAGGGGCAACUGGAAUUCUCGGUGUAGCGGUGAAAUGCGUAGAUAUCGAGAGGAACACCUGCGGUGAAGGCGGGUUGCUGGGCCGACACUGACGCUGAUGCGCGAAAGCUAGGGGAGCGAACGGG
rnacentral:rRNA from 1 species